CCAGAGAACUUAGCAGAGAUGCUUUGGUGCCUUCGGGAACUCUGAGACAGGUGCUGCAUGGCUGUCGUCAGCUCGUGUUGUGAAAUGUUGGGUUAAGUCCCGCAACGAGCGCAACCCUUAUCCUUGUUGCCAGCGGCUCGGCCGGGAACUCAAAGGAGACUGCCGGUGAUAAACCGGAGGAAGGUGGGGAUGACGUCAAGUCAUCAUGGCCCUUACGGCCAGGGCUACACACGUGCUACAAUGGCGCAUACAAAGAGAAGCGACCUCGCGAGAGCAAGCGGACCUCAUAAAGUGCGUCGUAGUCCGGAUUGGAGUCUGCAACUCGACUCCAUGAAGUCGGAAUCGCUAGUAAUCGUAGAUCAGAAUGCUACGGUGAAUACGUUCCCGGGCCUUGUACACACCGCCCGUCACACCAUGGGAGUGGGUUGCAAAAGAAGUAGGUAGCUUAACCUUCGGGAGGGCGCUUACCACUUUGUGAUUCAUGACUGGGGUGAAGUCGUAACAAGGUAGGCGUAGCGAG
rnacentral:rRNA from 1 species